rnacentral:rRNA from 1 species
GACGAACGCUGGCGGCGCGCUUAACACAUGCAAGUCGAGCGAGAACCCAGGCUUCGGCCUGGGGGACAGCGGCGAACGGGUGAGUAACACGUGGGUAAUCUGCCCUCGGCAUCGGGAUAGCCCGGGGAAACCCGGAUUAAUACCGAAUGGCCCAUCCGCUUUUCGGAGCGGCUGGAAAAGGUAGCUUCGGCCUCCGGCCGAGGAGGAGCCCGCGGCGGAUUAGCUUGGUGGUGGGGUAACGGCCCACCAAGGCGACGAUCCGUAGCAGGUCUGAGAGGACGAUCAGCCACACUGGGACUGAGACACGGCCCAGACUCCGACGGGAGGCAGCAGUGGGGAAUCUUGCGCAAGGGGCGAAAGCCUGACGCAGCGACGCCGCGUGCGGGAAGAAGGCCUUCGGGUUGUAAACCGCUUUCAGGAGGGACGAAGCCACUCGGGUUAAUAGCCCAGAGGGUGACGGUACCUCCAGAAGAAGCCCCGGCUAACUACGUGCCAGCCGCCGCCGUAACAC